GAUUGCAGUUAUUUUACAUCAAAGUUCUUCUCUGAGAUAAGACGACCAUUUCUGGGAAAGAUGACAGUAUUUUCAGGCUGGAUGCUGUUUGCAAGGAGAACUGACUGAAACUCUCCUGCACCUCAGCGCUGAGGUCCACAUCACGCCCUGUGAAACCACAGAUAUAAAUCUGCUGCAGUGAGAAGAACUUUACCCAACACAAGUGCAGAAUUAGAAAUUUGACUUUACCAUCCAACCUGUUAAAAACAAAGCUUUCAUUGCCUCUGUUAUUGAUGGUGUAAGUCAUGUAGUACUAAUCAUACUUCACAUCAGCCAUGCACAAGUCAGAGUAUCUCCAGGCUUUCAAUAAUAAAGCCAAGGAGAUGAUGUGAAAAUAGCAAUAGUAAAAUAUGCAUCAUAAUCAGUUGUAUGUGUCAACUAUGUGGCACCUCAGUCUUGUUGGCACGAAGAAAAGUUGUGUAACAUGUAGCAUGAGGGCUGCAAAGACAUCAUUUAAACAGCAGUCAUCUGUUAGUCGUAAUGUAUCUCCUGUUAAAUAGUUAAAUGUCUGUUCUCCAUCUCUGUCCUGUCACAGCUCGGCGUGUACCAACUCCAGCUGUGGUAACCAUGGCUGUGCCCAUCAACACACUGAAGCUGAGACGCCACCCGUCACUAUGGCGACUCCAAUAGGGUUACCUGUCAACUGUGGACACAUGAAAGGAAAACAGCAGAAACACAAGACAUGUUUACUGGAACAUUUCCAAUUGAUAGCUUUAUGGAAAAGUGUGUUUAAACACGUUUUUUGAUUUUGGUCAUGAUUGGAUUUAUUGUGAAAGAAAUUUCAAAGGUUUAAUUUGACCUUUCCCCUGUUUUUCAUACAGACUGGAGACGAAUGGAUGGUGCUUUCUUUGUUGGUUUAAAGAUAAUGAAUAAAUCUCUACAGACAUCUUAAACCACCCUCCUUUCUAUAUAUUUUGUUAUAUAAAUGAAAAACAGUAUAUAAGACAAAAACUGAGCUUAUAUGAUACUAAGGACCCUGGAAGUCAGUCCACCUUUAUUAUUCAGCACAGCCUUAAGUCUCUUAGUCAAGCCUUUUUGUGUUUUCUGUGAGGAAGUAUUCAGGAGCAGUUCUUUUCUUGGAUGUUGGUUCCCUUUGUUUCCAUCCUCUGUUAAGAUGUUUCAGUAAUGUUGAGGUCUGGGGAGGCCGAUCCAUGCCUGAAGUCCUGUGAUGCUGCAUACUGCAUUAGCAGUUUGUUCAUAGUGAAAAAUGAAGCCACUGCCAAUCAGACAUUUGCAUAGUGGAUCAACUUCUGAUGGUACUUUCCUGAAUUCCACACCUAUAAUAUGUUUGCACAUACUGAUGAAUAUUUGCAGCUGAUUUUCAGUCCAGUUCCUGUGUAAUGUGACAGACGCCAGUCUUUCUGCCUGUGUCCUUCCUUAAGAAUAGAGCCAUCCUUCCACUGAGACUGUUUCUGAUGAGGCUUCAUUGAGCAGCAGAUGGAUCCCUCAGCUCAUCUAAUCGUCCUAUUUCUUAACACAUGGCUGUCAGAAACUGUUAAUCUGCUGCAGCUCUUUAACUCUUCCACUUCUUUAUUUAUAUAAUGGAGUUGAACCUGUAAUGGAGUUUGAUUUAAACCAAUCUAAGCAAUUAAGUGAAUGAUGGUGAGCAAAGAAAUGAUGGCGGAGGUCGUGGAUGAAGACCCGGACAGCUGUGGUUGGCUCCUCGUAUAUAGCAGAGUGAGGUUGUGUUUGCACACUAUUAUAAAACCAUGUUCACUAUAUAUUUUAGCUGCAGACAAUCACAUUAUUUGUUGCUGUGGUGAUGUUAUUCCACUUUGGUAAAAUGGGAGAACGAUCAUUUCUUGCUGUUAUUGACACAUUAUUCCAAGACCCUCAACACAAGCCUUGUAGUCCAACCAUAUAAAAACAAAUAAAUAGUUGUGUUUGUAACAGCUCAUGAACAUGAAUCAUUCCACAUUACUUUAAAAAUCAUUGUAAACUAAACUGGAAUAAAUGAGUGUUUAUAUAUAGUUUUGUCUCAGCUGUUUAUACACAGUGUUUCAGUUCUUAUCAGAGUCCCACCGUCUCACAUGUGAUGAACCUUUAGCUCUGUUGUUAGCGUGUUGUUAGACCAGGUUUCCCUCAUUUAAAAAAUAAUCUCUCAUUAGAAAUGGAUAUGAUGUCAUAGAAAUGCUUAUUAUGGGCUCACUUGAUGUCAUUGAAAAGAUGCACAUAGGUAACGUGCAGGCCAUCCAGCUCCGAGGUUUAUCUCCUCACCUCGAGUCUGCGACACUCUCUCCAUGUCCUCUCAGAUAAGGGCGCGUACAUUUCUGCAUGAUCUUCAAAAUCACUCCUCCCACAGUCUAAACACAUGCAGUUAGUGGGGUCAGGUUAACUGUGAGUGGUUGUGUGUCUCUCUGUGUUAUUCCACCUUAAUAAA